UGAACGCUGGCGGCAGGCCUAACACAUGCAAGUCGAGCGGAUGAAGGGAGCUUGCUCCUGGAUUCAGCGGCGGACGGGUGAGUAAUGCCUAGGAAUCUGCCUGGUAGUGGGGGAUAACGUCCGGAAACGGGCGCUAAUACCGCAUACGUCCUGAGGGAGAAAGUGGGGGAUCUUCGGACCUCACGCUAUCAGAUGAGCCUAGGUCGGAUUGGCUAGUUGGUGGGGUAAAGGCCUACCAAGGCGACGAUCCGUAACUGGUCUGAGAGGAUGAUGAGUCACACUGGAACGGAGACACGCUCCAGACUCCUACGGGAGGGAGCAGUGGGGAAUAUUGGACAAUGGGCGAAAGCCUGGUCCAGCCAUGCCGCGUGUGUGAAGAAGGUCUUCGGAUUGUAAAGCACUUUAAGUUGGGAGGAAGGGCAGUAAGUUAAUACCUUGCUGUUUUGACGUUACCAACAGAAUAAGCACCGGCUAACUUCGUG
rnacentral:rRNA from 1 species